rnacentral:lncRNA from 1 species
CUUUGCAGCUUGGAUACAGUUCAGCAACUUUUCCUCUUGGUACCUGGACAAGUAGGAGAAAUCCAGAAAUUGAAAAUUGAGAGAACUCUGAAUACCUGAGCUAUUUCAUGAUUGUUGGGAAACCAUUGCAUGGUUAAGAUGGCCCCAGAAUAGAAGCAAGGCUCUUCCUCUCCUCUCCACCAACUGAUAUAAAGUGCCUCAAAAGGACAAACCAAAAUCAGAUGAGUGAAGGGACUCCACUGAAGGGUGCAACAUUGAAGGGUUGGCAGUCUCUUCAGUAUUAUUUGAUAUCUAGAUUUCUGUCCCAGACUGCUGAGCCAAGGUAACCACAAGGAUGAUGGGGAAUUGGUUUGAGAAGAGGAUUGUUUCAGAACUUGGAAGGUAUGUAAGCAAAAUGUCCACACUGUCUACAUAUGAGUCAGAUUUC